GACGAACGCUGGCGGCGUGCUUAACACAUGCAAGUCGAACGGAAAGGCCCCUUUGGGGGUCCUCGAGUGGCGAACGGGUGAGUAACACGUGAGUAACCUGCCCUUGACUUCGGGAUAACUUCAGGAAACUGGGGCUAAUACCGUAUAGGAAUCCUUGCUGCCUGGUGGGGGUUGGAAAGCUUCGGCGGUUUUUGAUGGACUCGCGGCUUAUCUGCUUGUUGGUUGGGUAGUGGCUUACCAAGGCUUUUACGGGUAGCCGGCCUGAGUGGCCGACCGGCCACAUUGGGACUGGGAGACGGCCCAGACUCCGACGGGAGGCAGCAGUGGGGAAGAUUGCACAAUGGGCGGAAGCCUGAUGCAGCAAGGCCGCGGGCGGGAGGACGGACUUCGGGUUGUAAACCGAUUUCAGCAGGGGCGAAGCUUGUGGUGACGGUACCUGCAGAAGAAGCACCGGCUAACUACGUG
rnacentral:rRNA from 1 species